rnacentral:rRNA from 1 species
AUUGAACGCUGGCGGCAGGCUUAACACAUGCAAGUCGAGCGGGGGAAAGUACUUCGGUACUGGACCUAGCGGCGGACGGGUGAGUAAUGCUUAGGAAUCUGCCAUUUAGUGGGGGAUAACAUUCCGAAAGGAAUGCUAAUACCGCAUACGUCCUACGGGAGAAAGCAGGGGAUCUUCGGACCUUGCGCUAAAUGAUGAGCCUAAGUCGGAUUAGCUAGUUGGUGGGGUAAAGGCCUACCAAGGCGACGAUCUGUAGCGGGUCUGAGAGGAUGAUCCGCCACACUGGGACUGAGACACGGCCCAGACUCCUACGGGAGGCAGCAGUGGGGAAUAUUGGACAAUGGGCGGAAGCCUGAUCCAGCCAUGCCGCGUGUGUGAAGAAGGCCUUAUGGUUGUAAAGCACUUUAAGCGAGGAGGAGGCUCUUCUGGUUAAUACCUAGAGAUAGUGGACGUUACUCGCAGAAUAAGCACCGGCUAACUCUGUGCCAGCAGCCGCCGUAACAC